GCAUGUAUCUGCUUAAAUAGGAAUUUAAAUGCCUAUAUCUAGAUUUUGGUGUAAGCAGGGUUAAAUCCUUGCUCACAGCAGGAAACCCAGGUAUCAUUAGAAACCUGGGUCUCCCCUCUGUCAGAUGGGGUAAUUUUUAAUGUCCCCAGACUGACAGCUGAGCUGCAUGCAGAGCUCAAAGUGAGAUCGGCAUGCAGCUGUUUAAAUGGGGAUUUAAAUCCCCAUAGAGCACAAUGCAGUGUGAGCAGGGUUAAAUCCCUGCUCACACUAGGAAACCCAGGUAUCAUUAGAAACCUGGGGGUCCCCUCUGCCAGCUGGGGCCUUUUUUAGUGGGCCCAGACUUUUUGAUGAGC